UACAGAGGUCUCAAGCGUUGUUCGGAUUUAUUGGGCGUAAAGCGUGCGUAGGCGGCGGGGUAAGUGAGGUGUGAAAUCCCAGGGCUUAACCCUGGAACUGCACUUUAUACUGCCUUGCUCGAGGGCUGGAGAGGAGACUGGAAUUUACGGUGUAGCAGUGAAAUGCGUAGAGAUCGUAAGGAAGACCAGUGGCGAAGGCGAAUCUCUGGAAAGCUGCUGACGCUGAGGCACGAAGGCCAGGGGAGCAAACGGG
rnacentral:rRNA from 1 species